AGAGAGAGACAUGCGCGCAUAUCAAUAAGCGGAGGAAAAGAAACUAACAAGGAUUCCCUUAGUAGCGGCGAGUGAAGCGGGAAGAGCUCAAAUUUGAAAUCUUCAAGGUUUUACCUUGACGAAUUGUAGUUUAAAGAAGUGUUUUCUGCUGAAGUUUUGGUAAAAGUUCUUUGGAAUAGGACAUCAUAGAGGGUGAGAAUCCCGUAUCUGACCAUUAUUUUCAGCUUUGUGAUACACUUUCAAAGAGUCGGAUUGUUUGGGAAUGCAGUCCAAAAUGGGUGGUAAAUUUCAUCUAAAGCUAAAUAUUGGCGAGAGACCGAUAGCGAACAAGUACCGUGAGGGAAAGAUGAAAAGAACUUUGAAAAGAGAGUUAAACAGUACGUGAAAUUGUCAAAAGGGAAGCGUUUGACACCAGUGUUGUUUUCUCGAAAAUCAAUUAAAAAUGGCUCGAUUUUGUAUUGUUGAGACCUUAAAAGCUCACUGUACAUUUUUCGUGUCUUUUUUAAUGCACUUUUCGUUUAACAAGUCAACAUCAGUUUCUUUUGUUGUAAAAGGGUCAUUGGAAGGUGGCUUUCUUUUCGGAGAAAGUGUUUAUAGCCUUUGGCCUCUGCAAUCGGAGAGACUUGAGGUCUGCAGCGUAGACUCUUCGGGGUUAGAUACAUUUGUGCUAAGUUAUAGCUUUUUAUAGACAACUUGUUGACUAUAAUUAGUCUUGUAGCUUACUCGCUUAUGCUAUUUUACCUACGCUUAGGAUGUUGAAGAUGUAGCACAUCAU
rnacentral:rRNA from 1 species